CCCUUGCACACGUGGAGAGUCAGCCCAUGCAUCUUUCUGCAAUCAAUAGAUGCAAUCACCAUUCCAGGACUCACAGUUGUGUUCGAUUACUUGACUUAUCUCACCUGCUUUUGGUCAACUGGAGUUUUAGAAAAAGAGGAGCAGAAUGGCCUUCAUUCAGACGUUGGGUGGCUGUAGGAGGAAGGAAAAAAGAAGACACAAGAAAAGACUGUUGGACCUGUAACAAGAAAAAAGAGAGAGUGAAUGAGAAAUUGUAGGGAAUGACCAUCCAGUCAUCCAGCCUUGCAAGCAAUUGCAGUUUCCUCAUUGUAAGGCAACACCACACUGAUAGAAACACAGG